rnacentral:piRNA from 1 species
UGAACAAACAAUUGAAUUGGGUUUAUGC